GAUCUUCCUAAAGACUUAUAGAAGGCUGUUCCGAGAGCCUCAGCAUUCCAGGAUGCUGGAGACAUUUGAGUUUGCUUGGGCCAUGGGGAGGAAAAGGGGCAGGCCAAUAGGUACCGAGCCUCCAGUACAUGCCAAGGUGUGUUACCACACUCCCCAUUGCACAACAGUCCUUGUUGAAUUGACCCCACACGCUGUACACGGAGAAAAGAUGCAAAAAGCCAC
rnacentral:lncRNA from 1 species